CUGCUGGUAGUUGGAGCGCUGGCCCGGAUCCCCGGAAGCGAAGGGGGGAAGGAGACCCCCGGGAAUGCCCAAGGACAGUGUUUUUCUCGAGGAGGACACUGCUUUGACAAACUAUGUCCUCGUGGACAUUUUAAUCUUGGGCAGCUGGACUGUGGGCGGGAACACAAGUGCUGUGAACGCAAAAUUGGAAAAUAAUGCCAUCUCCAUCUAGGACCAUGCAUAUCUUCAAGAUAUGGCCAAGGACCUGAGAUUGCCGCCUGCUAUCGCUUUAUCUUUCUUUAUCUAAAUAAAAUUGCUACCCAUCAAA